UUAAGAAUAUUGGACAAUGAGGGAAACCUUGAUCCAGCCAUACCGCGUGUGUGAAGAAGGCCUUAGGGUUGUAAAGCACUUUAAGCGAUGAAGAAGAAAAGUAAGUUAAUACCUUACUUUUUUGACGUUACUCGCAGAAUAAGUACCGGCUAACUCCGUGCCAGCAGCCGCGGUAAUACGGAGGGUACAAGCGUUAAUCGGAAUUACUGGGCGUAAAGCGCGCGUAGGCGGUUAAGUAAGUUGGAUGUGAAAGCCCUGGGCUCAACCUAGGAACUGCAUUCAAAACUAUUUAACUAGAGUGCGAGAGAGGAGAGUAGAAUUUCUGGUGUAGCGGUGAAAUGCGUAGAUAUCAGAAGGAAUACCAAUGGCGAAGGCAGCUCUCUGGAUCGUCACUGACGCUAAGGUGCGAAAGCGUGGGUAGCAAACAGG
rnacentral:rRNA from 1 species